rnacentral:rRNA from 1 species
UUUAUGGAGAGUUUGAUCCUGGCUCAGGAUGAACGCUGGCGGCGUGCCUAAUACAUGCAAGUCGAGCGAACAGAUGAGAAGCUUGCUUCUCUGAUGUUAGCGGCGGACGGGUGAGUAACACGUGGGUAACCUACCUAUAAGACUGGGAUAACUCCGGGAAACCGGGGCUAAUACCGGAUAAUAUUUUGAACCGCAUGGUUCAAUAGUGAAAGACGGUUUCGGCUGUCACUUAUAGAUGGACCCGCGCCGUAUUAG